AGAGUUUGAUCCUGGCUCAGAAUCAACGCUGGCGGCGUGCCUAACACAUGCAAGUCGCACGAGAAAGUGGAGCAAUCCAUGAGUAAAGUGGCGCACGGGUGAGUAACACGUGAAUAAUCUACCUCCGAGUGGGGAAUAACUGAGAGAAAUCUUAGCUAAUACCGCAUAACACUUACGAGUCAAAGCAGCAAUGCGCUUGGAGAGGAGUUCGCGGCCGAUUAGUUAGUUGGCGGGGUAAUGGCCCACCAAGACGAUGAUCGGUAUCCGGCCUGAGAGGGCGCACGGACACACUGGAACUGAAACACGGUCCAGACUCCUACGGGAGGCAGCAGUGGGGAAUUUUGCGCAAUGGGGGAAACCCUGACGCAGCAACGCCGCGUGGAGGAUGAAAUAUCUUGGUAUGUAAACUCCUUUCGAUGGGGAAGAUUAUGACGGUACCCAUAGAAGAAGCCCCGGCUAACUUCGUGCCAGCAGCCGCGGUAAUACGAGGGGGGCAAGCGUUGUUCGGAUUUAUUGGGCGUAAAGGGUGCGUAGGCGGUUUGAUAAGUCUGAUGUGAAAUCUAUGGGCUCAACCCAUAGUCUGCAUUAGAAACUGUCGGGCUUGAGUAUGGGAGAGGUGAGUGGAAUUUCCGGUGUAGCGGUGAAAUGCGUAGAUAUCGGAAGGAACACCUGUGGCGAAAGCGGCUCACUGGACCAUAACUGACGCUGAUGCACGAAAGCUAGGGGAGCAAACAGGAUUAGAUACCCUGGUAGUCCUAGCCCUAAACGAUGAUUGCUUGGUGUGGCAGUACCCAAUCCUGCCGUGCCGAAGCUAACGCGAUAAGCAAUCCGCCUGGGGAGUACGGUCGCAAGGCUGAACUCAAAGGAAUUGACGGGGCCCGCACAAGCGGUGGAGCAUGUGUUUAAUUCGACGCACG
rnacentral:rRNA from 1 species